UACGUAGGGGGCAAGCGUUGUCCGGAUUCAUUGGGCGUAAAGAGCGUGUAGGCGGCCAGGUAGGUCGGUUGUGAAAACUGGAGGCUCAACCUUCAGAGGUCGACCGAAACCAUCUGGCUAGAGUCCGGGAGAGGAGAGUGGAAUUCCUGGUGUAGCGGUGAAAUGCGCAGAUAUCAGGAAGAACGCCCGUGGCGAAAGCGGCUCUCUGGAACGGUACUGACGCUGAGACGCGAAAGCGUGGGGAGCAAACAGG
rnacentral:rRNA from 1 species